rnacentral:rRNA from 1 species
UACGUAGGGAGCAAGCGUUGUCCGGAAUCAUUGGGCGUAAAGCGAGUGUAGGCGGUUUGGAUAGUCGGAUGUGAAAGCCCCGGGCUCAACCCGGGAAGUGCAUUCGAUACUCCCAAGCUAGAGUAUCGGAGAGGUUGGUGGAAUUCUCGGUGUAGAGGUGAAAUUCGUAGAUAUCGAGAGGAACACCGGUGGCGAAGGCGGCCAACUGGACGAAUACUGACGCUGAGACUCGAAAGCGUGGGGAGCAAACAGG